CCACCUCUCUACAGGGUGUCAUUGGCAGGUGUCGUCCUUCAGCUGCAGCUUAUUGAGACUAAUCAGGAGUAGUUUUAGAAGAGCAGAAACCAAGAGGGAGAUGCCAGAUUGUUAGCUCUUCUAGCGUAAUCAGGCCAGCAUUUCGAAUGUAUUUUACUCUCUUUGGUUCCCUGAGUCUGUUUUUCCCUCUUUUCAGGAUCCAGUCCGUGCCUGUGCUCAAGUUCCUUCACUCUGGUGCUCGACUUCCUCAUUCCUCAUGUUCAAGGAAGAAUGCUCUUCUGGUCUCCGCUGUUCAGCUCCUCAGCUUCUCAGACCUUCUUCCUGAUAAAAGUCAGUUUCUUUGCUCAGCUACUACCUACCUUUCUGUGCUCUGCUACUACCUCAUGCUCACCUGCAUGUACACCCUUUGAUGCCAUCCGCUCCACUGCAAACCUCAUUCUAUAAGAAAAUGGAAAUUACAUCCAGAACCAUCAAACCACCAAACACCACCACCUGUCAACCUCAGACUCUGUGUGUAUAGCUCACAUCCUCUAGGAAAUCCUUGUUCAUCACCAACAUGGCCAGUCAGACCCCUGCCAGAAAACCAGAAGAAUAACCUCAACAUAGUUAAUUUUCAAUAAACCUGUUAAACCAU